GGAGGAGUACAGAUUCAUUCUCAAAAGACUGAGUUUUGAUGUGUAUAUCUAAUCACAGGAAAUCAUCGCGGGUAAAGAUGACAACUUCUUGAGCCUUGACACCAAGAUUGUCCAAUCGCUCUCUUCUCGUCCAUACUGCAACAAAAACAAGAAGACAUAUUUCAAGAAUGAAAGAUGACAGUGCAGGAAAAGCAUAAAACUAAAUCAUUAUGAAAAAGCCAAGGCAAGAUGAAGAAACAGAGGAUGACAGAGGUUGUGACUUAUCCAAAGAGUUAAGAAAGUACCUGAGGUUCAGGUCCUACUGUCUGCAAGUACAGCACUCUUACCAACUGUGCCACCUAACUUCCUUCGAGAGAGCCAAAGAACCUGCUGACAUCCAUGACGCAAUGCUUCAUUUUGGGCAAAAAUGGAGGCACCAUAAUUGCUAAUUGAGGAGGCAAAACAUCAAUUAGAGCUGUGGAACAGAGGCUCAGAGAGGUUGUAUCUUACUCAUAGUAAUGUGACUAGUAUGGGAAAGAGCUGGGAUUCACACUCUGGGACUUCAAACUUCUAAUCAAUGAUCCUUCUCAGGAGUUAUUCGCUUUUUUGUGUGUUGCGGACCUCUUGGGUAUCUGGUGAAACCUAUGGAUUCCUUCUCAAAAUAAUGUUUUUAAAGGCUUCUCCUAUAUGCCAGGCAUCAAGAUGUGUGCUGGGAAUUUGGAAUUUGAAACAAAAAGUGAAAUAAUCCCUACUCUCAUGGAGCUUAGAUUUGAAUGGUCAACAAGUUACAUAUCUACGUAUACAGAAUAAACAGAAAGAUGAUAUGCAUAUGAUGUCAGGGACCUCACGUAAGUUUACUUUCCAAUUUCAGGAUACUACCCAGAGCUCCCAUACUC